AUUGUGAAGUCCUGUCCUGAAAGGAUCUGCUUGGUCUCUUUUGAGAAUGCACACAGGUAGAUUGCAUUGAAUACUGAUGGAAUUUCUGCUUUCUCCUUGACUUGUCCUGCUGCACUUUAAGUUUAAGAUUUACUCAGAAAUAUGAAAAGGACCUGCUGUCACCAUGCCACAAAGAGGAGAACUUACCAUCAUUGCACUACAAACUGUCAACCCUUAGCUGGCUCUGCACCUUGGUUUCUCUCAGCAUAGGGUUACAGAGGCAACUACCAAGCAACCAACCCAAUUAAAGAUGAAGCCAACUUCCUGGAGAAGAGGUAAGUGUCCGCUCCUAUCCCAGUUACAUUCAACCAGAAGACAUCACCUAUCUAAAACCAUGGGGAACACCAGCUACACAAAUGAUGAGUCCAGUACAUAUUUUGUUAACAUGAAAAUGCUUCUUGAUAAAAGUGAAAGAGAGAGAGAGAGAAAUGCUGCCAUUUAUUGGAACCCUAUAUUUAGCCAUGCUCAAAGUCAGCACCAAUCCUUUUGAUUUUUCAUAAGCUAACAACUUUCUUUUGAUUACAAUAACGUGGAUUGUGUUUCUAUUGGUUACAAUGCAAAACAUCCUAUUAUGGAGAAGCAGAGUGCUCCCUGUGCUGAAGAGGAGGUAAGCCUUCUGGGCCACUAUACCACCAUCUCCAGUGGUGAGGAGCAGAGCCACCUCCAACACUGAGGACGAUGUGAGCCUUCCAGGCUGCUAUACCACUGCCCCCAGUACCAAGAAGCAGAGCUGUGCCCAGUGCUGAAGAGGAGUCUUCCAGGCUGCCAUACCACCACUCCCAGAUCUGAGGAGCAGAGACACCCUCAGCACUCAGAAGGAGCCUUUCAGGCCACCGUACCAUCACCCAC
rnacentral:lncRNA from 1 species